AGCAUUGAAGUUUUCGGAUGGAUAUGCUGAGUGGCGGACGGGUGAGUAACACGUGGAUACCUGCCUCACACUGGGGGACAACAGUUAGAAAUGACUGCUAAUACCGCAUAAGACCGCAUGGUAAAAACUCCGGUGGUGUGAGAUGGAUCCGCGUCUGAUUAGCCAGUUGGCGGGGUAACGGCCCACCAAAGCGACGAUCAGUAGCCGACCUGAGAGGGUGACCGGCCACAUUGGGACUGAGACACGGCCCAAACUCCUACGGGAGGCAGCAGUGGGGAAUAUUGCACAAUGGGCGAAAGCCUGAUGCAGCGACGCCGCGUGAGUGAAGAAGUAUUUCGGUAUGUAAAGCUCUAUCAGCAGGGAAGAUAAUGACGGUACCUGACUAAG
rnacentral:rRNA from 1 species